rnacentral:rRNA from 1 species
AGAGUUUGAUCCUGGCUCAGGACGAACGCUGGCGGCGUGCCUAACACAUGCAAGUCGAGCGAUGAAAUCCCUUCGGGGAUGGAUUAGCGGCGGACGGGUGAGUAACACGUGGGUAACCUGCCUCAAAGAGGGGGAUAGCCUCCCGAAAGGGAGAUUAAUACCGCAUAACAUUAGUUUUUCGCAUGGAGAACUAAUUAAAGGAGUAAUCCGCUUUGAGAUGGACCCGCGGCGCAUUAGCUAGUUGGUGAGGUAAAGGCUCACCAAGGCGACGAUGCGUAGCCGACCUGAGAGGGUGAUCGGCCACAUUGGAACUGAGACACGGUCCAGACUCCUACGGGAGGCAGCAGUGGGGAAUAUUGCACAAUGGGCGAAAGCCUGAUGCAGCAACGCCGCGUGAGUGAUGAAGGCCUUCGGGUUGUAAAGCUCUGUCUUUGGGGACGAUAAUGACGGUACCCAAGGAGGAAGCCACGGCUAACUACGUGCCAGCAGCCGCGGUAAUACGUAGGUGGCGAGCGUUGUCCGGAUUUACUGGGCGUAAAGGAUGCGUAGGUGGAUGUUUAAGUCAGAUGUGAAAUACCCGAGCUUAACUUGGGUGCUGCAUUUGAAACUAGACAUCUAGAGUGCAGGAGAGGUAAGUGGAAUUCCUAGUGUAGCGGUGAAAUGCGUAGAGAUUAGGAAGAACACCAGUGGCGAAGGCGACUUACUGGACUGUAACUGACACUGAGGCAUGAAAGCGUGGGUAGCAAACAGGAUUAGAUACCCUGGUAGUCCACGCCGUAAACGAUGAGUACUAGGUGUAGGGGGGUCCAACCCUCUGUGCCGCAGUUAACACAAUAAGUACUCCGCCUGGGAAGUACGAUCGCAAGAUUAAAACUCAAAGGAAUUGACGG